rnacentral:miRNA from 1 species
AGUGGAAUUGCUGGGUCAUAUGGUAACUCUAUAUUUAGUGUUUUGAGGAACUGCCAGACAGCUUUUCAAAGCAGCUGCACCAUUUCC